GAUGCUGUAAGUUGCUGGAGAAAUUGAAGACAUUAUGCUACAAUUUCACAAAACCUGUAUUGUGUACCAGAUGCGGAAGAGCUGUGUCCAAGCUUUUCUACUGAGGUUGGCUUCAGAAACCCAAUCAGUUGUCUGAUCGGACAUGGUUUGGUGGAGUUUCAUCCAACAGAUAGAAAAGGGAAUGUUGGUUUCUUAAAGUGGAACUGAACACGUCUUGCCAAUAUGGCUUGAUGAUUUGGAAAGUCAUAGCUUAUACUGAUGUGGAAAAGAGGCGUGGGUCCUGGUGACCUGACCUGUUACUGCUGGGAUUGAUUUGUAGUAAUGAAGGGUUGUAAAUGGAGCUCAUCUCAAUCAACAUAGUGUCAACUGGAGAACUAUCUCCCACUGACUAUUUGACAUACUCAUAGUAGCUGCAUUUCUUUGAAGAUACUUGCUUUCACAAAAGCCCCUGAAAAAUUGGAGAAUUGUCGGAGUGUGGAAAGUAGCAAAACUUCUUAACAAGAGCUAAGAAGUACUGGGAAGGAGCAGUUUCUUUGGCCUUUUGGUUAGGUGUUCGGUGUUCCUUAAUUUCAUGAAGAAAACUAUCUGGUACAGUACCUCCGAGAUGAAUUCUUCUGAGUCAUACUACAGGGGAAGAAAACUUCGGUUUUAUCAUGUUUGUGGCCAUUGUGGCAUUAUGUAGCUAAUUAGGUUAGCAUCAUCAGUUCAGCAGCAUAUAGAAGGCUUAAGGUCAAUGGAGAUGACAUAUUUCACUUACUGAUCAGUUUGAAAAUCUACUGCUGUUGAGGCACUAGUCCUUUAGUUGAUCUGGGAUCUUUUGGCAUUACAUAACAGAGGGUGUCUCACUCCGGAAGAUCUGGAAGCUCGGAAACAGGAGGUCAAAUCUGUUUUCAUCCGAAUAAGUAUCGACGAGGCUGUCAAGUAGUGGUUAAGUAUAAGUAAAUUGGGGCAUCAGGAUUUUGGAUUGGACAAAACCUGAUAUUAUCAUGGAUGAAAUUAUGUAUGAAGUUACAUUCUGAAGUUCUCUUUAGAAAUGAAGUUACUCUAGUUCAUCUUGAAGAAAAUUUAAGAGAAAAUCUGCAUUGCCUUUUAACUAAAGCAUUAUGACGAUACAUCAAGUUCUCCAAUGCAAAUAUUGAUAGAACAAAGCUUGGUAUUGGUUUUACAACCAGGAUACCAGUUUUAUAACUUGUAUUCACAUCAUACAUUCAUAUUGGCAUUAUGGGGUUUCAGAUAUAUGUUGUAUUCAAUCCACAUUUCUCGGUUGUGAUAAAGAA